CAAGCUUCUUCACCUCUUCUCGGGCGUUGAGAGCGAGUCUUCGAGGAGCUUGUUUUAUUUGUGAACUCUCUCCGACGUCGAUCUUAUGCUUGACGGAAGUUCAUCGGCCCUUAUCACCACUAUAUUUGGCGAAAGAAUGUUAUGAGUUAUGAGCUACGAUACACCCAAAAAGGUUAAUUUGGACAGUAACCUGUCUUAAAAUCGGGGUCGUCUCUCCAGUGGCUGUUCGCAGGGAUGAAGAGGGAACAAUCUGAUCAUCGGAUUUAAAGAGAUCCGAUCGAACUACGGUUAUUUCCGCGCCGGUGUCUAUUACCCAAAGACAAUCGACGCCAUUUACAGUACCGCGCGCGUAAAGACUAGACUGUCGUAGACUUCUAAUCAAAAGCCGGUGUUAUUUUUAGCUUGACGUAAGGAAAUUCGUCUAAUGCAGAACGACAUGCUUCGUGAGAUACAUUUCCAUUCAUUAGUCACCAAUAUGCAAUGCAACGUCCAUGAGACAUAAGAUUAAAGAGCAUCAAAAUAUAUUACGUUAUCGUAACGGCAAGAUUAGCGUAUGAUUGCAGUGAUUUUCUUUGUCCGGCUUGUUUCAGUUAUUUUCAGAUAACUGUUAGUUUGCUCGCUGCUUGAAGAUGGAACUUAUUUUAAUCGAAGGUUUGAGGAAACAGAAUGAAAUUUAAGAA
rnacentral:lncRNA from 1 species